UACUAGGAAAGUACCAAACUUGGCUCAUUGU
rnacentral:piRNA from 1 species